rnacentral:rRNA from 1 species
GAUGAACGCUGGCGGCGUGCCUAAUACAUGCAAGUCGAGCGAACGGACGAGAAGCUUGCUUCUCUGAUGUUAGCGGCGGACGGGUGAGUCACACGUGGAUAACCUACCUAUAAGACUGGGAUAACUUCGGGAAACCGGAGCUAAUACCGGAUAAUAUCUUGAACCGCAUGGUUCAAAAGUAAAAGACGGUCUUGCUGUCACUUAUAGAUGGAUCCGCGCUGCAUUAGCUAGUUGGUAAGGUAACGGCUUACCAAGGCAACGAUGCAUAGCCGACCUGAGAGGGUGAUCGGCCACACUGGAACUGAGACACGGUCCAGACUCCUACGGGAGGCAGCAGUAGGGAAUCUUCCGCAAUGGGCGAAAGCCUGACGGAGCAACGCCGCGUGAGUGAUGAAGGUCUUCGGAUCGUAAAGCUCUGUUAUUAGGGAAGAACAUAUGUGUAAGUAACUGUGCACAUCUUGACGGUACCUAAUCAGAAAGCCACGGCUAACUACGUG